UGGGGAAUAUUGGACAAUGGGCGAAAGCCUGAUCCAGCCAUGCCGCGUGUGUGAAGAAGGUCUUCGGAUUGUAAAGCACUUUAAGUUGGGAGGAAGGGCAGUAAGUUAAUACCUUGCUGUUUUGACGUUACCGACAGAAUAAGCACCGGCUAACUUCGUGCCAGCAGCCGCGGUAAUACGAAGGGUGCAAGCGUUAAUCGGAAUUACUGGGCGUAAAGCGCGCGUAGGUGGUUCAGCAAGUUGGAUGUGAAAGCCCCGGGCUCAACCUGGGAACUGCAUCCAAAACUACUGAGCUAGAGUACGGUAGAGGGUGGUGGAAUUUCCUGUGUAGCGGUGAAAUGCGUAGAUAUAGGAAGGAACACCAGUGGCGAAGGCGACCACCUGGACUGAUACUGACACUGAGGUGCGAAAGCGUGGGGAGCAAACA
rnacentral:rRNA from 1 species